ACGGCUAUACCAUACUGAAUAUACCGGUUCUCGUUAGAUCACCGAAGUCAAGCAUCAUUGGGCGCGGUCAGUACUUGGGUGGGUGACACUGGGAACACCGCGUGCUGUU